rnacentral:rRNA from 1 species
GAUGAACGCUGACAGAAUGCUUAGCACAUGCAAGUCAACUUGAACUUCGGUUUGGGUGGCGGACGGGUGAGUAACGCGUAAAGAACUUGCCUCACAGCUAGGGACAACAUUUGGAAACGAAUGCUAAUACCUGAUAUUAUGAUUUUAGGGCAUCCUAGAAUUAUGAAAGCUAUAUGCGCUGUGAGAGAGCUUUGCGUCCCAUUAGCUAGUUGGAGAGGUAACGGCUCACCAAGGCGAUGAUGGGUAGCCGGCCUGAGAGGGUGAACGGCCACAAGGGGACUGAGACACGGCCCUUACUCCUACGGGAGGCAGCAGUGGGGAAUAUUGGACAAUGGACCAAGAGUCUGAUCCAGCAAUUCUGUGUGCACGAUGAAGUUUUUCGGAAUGUAAAGUGCUUUCAGUUGGGAAGAAAAAAAUGACGGUACCAACAGAAGAAGUGACGGCUAAAUACGUG